UAGAGUUUUCUAAACUCCCAACCCAUGUGAACUUACCUUUUGUUGCCUCGGCAGCAGCUAUAAGAAGACCUAUAACUUCUGCCGGUGGACCAUUAAACUCUUGUUAUUUUAUGUAAUCUGAGCGUCUUAUUUUAAUAAGUCA
rnacentral:misc_RNA from 1 species